CAGAAAAUAGUUUAUUAAAAAUAUUAAUUUUGGAGAUUAAAGAAAUUACAUUAGUUUUUUUUCUGA
rnacentral:tRNA from 1 species